rnacentral:rRNA from 1 species
AUCCUGGCUCAGAUUGAACGCUGGCGGCAUGCCUCACACAUGCAAGUCGAACGAGGUAGCAAUACCUAGUGGCGGACGGGUGAGUAACGCGUGGGAAUCUGCCCAUAGGUGGGGGAUAACUAGCCGAAAGGUUAGCUAAUACCGCAUAUGCCGAAAGGUAAAAGGAGUAAUCCGCCUUUGGAUGAGCCCGCGUCCGAUUAGCUAGUUGGUAGAGUAAAAAGCCUACCAAGGCGACGAUCGGUAGCUGGUCUGAGAGGAUGAUCAGCCACAAUGGGACUGAGACACGGCCCAUACUCCUACGGGAGGCAGCAGUGGGGAAUUUUACGCAAUGGGGGAAACCCUGACGUAGCGACACCGCGUGAAUGAAGAAGCCCUUUGGGGGUGUAAAAUUCUGUCGGCUGGGAAGAAAAAAAAUGACGGUACCAGCAAAGGAAGCAUCGGCUAACUACGUG